UUAAAACAAACAAUGGAAAUGUACAUACAAUAUGCAGAGAAGCACUUACAACACAAUAGAAGGUAAAAUGUCAGUUUCUUUUUUCUUUGCAGAUUAUAUUAGAUUCGAUGUGUUACUGAUUAUUAUUACUGCUGCUCUUUGUUUUUGCUGUAUAAUUGAUGGAGAUGAACCACUAGAAAAUUAUGGAAGAAAAAAAAUAAGAAGAUGCACGAUUGGCUCAAGAAGUUGCGCUAACAAUUGCAGAAAAAGAGAAAGCAAGAUGUUAAAAGCGUUUCAUAUUAUAGACCAUGAAUUAACUUGGGGCAGUGGUGGUGUUGCAUCCUUUUCAAGCUACCAAGACAUAUAAUCGAUUCUGUGAUAAAUAGUUUUGCAUUUCCAUUGUAUUUUAAGCGUAAAACAUAUAAAUGUUGUGGACGAGAUUUCACCACGGAUAUAAAUAAGAUUAUAAAGCCUUGCAGUUCA